GACGAACGCUGGCGGCGUGCUUAACACAUGCAAGUCGAACGAAGAGCGAUGGAAGCUCGCUUCUAUCAAUCUUAGUGGCGAACGGGUGAGUAACGCGUAAUCAACCUGCCCUUCAGAGGGGGACAACAGUUGGAAACGACUGCUAAUACCGCAUACGAUCUAAUCUCGGCAUCGAGGAUAGAUGAAAGGUGGCCUCUACAUGUAAGCUAUCACUGAAGGAGGGGAUUGCGUCUGAUUAGCUAGUUGGAGGGGUAACGGCCCACCAAGGCGAUGAUCAGUAGCCGGUCUGAGAGGAUGAACGGCCACGUUGGGACUGAGACACGGCCCAGACUCCUACGGGAGGCAGCAGUGGGGAAUCUUCCGCAAUGGACGAAAGUCUGACGGAGCAACGCCGCGUGAGUGAUGACGGCCUUCGGGUUGUAAAGCUCUGUUAAUCGGGACGAAAGGCCUUCUUGCGAAUAGAGAGAAGGAUUGACGGUACCGGAAGAGAAAGCCACGGCUAACUACGUG
rnacentral:rRNA from 1 species